CCUUGCCUUUCUCUGGUAGAGGCACGUGUGACCUACCCUGCUUCUUUUCAUUAAAAAGGAUGCUGCAGAUGUCCUAAUCCCUCACAUAAUUUCUUUUUUUCCUCCUUCCAGUAACUUCUCCUUCUCUAGCACAGAAAGCAAAAAAAAAACUUGAUGGGGUCGCCUUCACCUUUGUUAAGGCUCAGUUUUCCACAAGUCCACCUCCAAUAUACCAAUCCUCUUCAAAUGGCAGCUUCUGUCAUGGAUCACAGUCUGGACUAAGUUAUUGGGGCUGCUGUGGAUGAAAACUAUGCAAUGCAGGUACAGAAAAUUGUGUUUGGCAGGUUGGAGGAAAGCUUGUAAAUGCUUUGCACAGCUGACCUACUGAGUCUGAGGUGACUGAGAGGGAACCCACAACUAUCUCAUCUGACUUCUGUUGGUCAACACACUCCUCUGAAGGUGCUGCAGAAGAUACAGCCAAGCACAGAUUUUACACUCUGGAAAAGUACCAGAGCUGCUCCUUCUCACCUGCUUGCAUAGGGUGAAUAAUUGCAAUUUGCUCACUAAUUGAGGAGUUCUUGGUAGCUGGAAAACACAGCUACAACCUGGCAUCAAUCUUCUCUUGAUAGAAGUCAGUGGUGGCUAUGGGCUAUUCUGACAUUUGACUGCCUGUCACCCAGCAUUGGCAUCCAGCCUUACUAACCCUGCCAGAGCUGCAGCUACUUUCAGUGAAGGAGAUUUUGAAGCAGGAAUAUUGACAAGUCAUACAAGACUGGCCUAAGCCAUGAAAUGAUGGCAUUGACAACAUCCUGGUUGAGUGCUACAGAAGUGCUUAGAACAUACAUUUUUAAUAUCUCCUUAAGAGUAAAAUAUAAGCCCCAGAAAUUGUUUUCGACAAAUUUGGGAAUAUGUGCUGAUAUCUCAGGAUCAAUUUUUGGUGUGUAUAGAGAGGUGAUAAACUGGAAAGUGGUCAGUUUAGCUGGAAUGCCAUAA
rnacentral:lncRNA from 1 species